CGGUUUAAGUGAUAAGUUUUUGGGGCUUGUUAACUUUAAUGAUACAUAAAAGGGUAAAUUCAAGUCAUUUUUAACUCCCGCCAUCGUUGCCGUUGGAAUAUAGGCCGGUGUAAGAAACUUCGAGAACGGUGGCGCGAAAAAUCCCCAAAAAUAUGAGACUUAACCCAAGAAAAAGGAUACCAACGCUGCGGGAAGCUUUCCUCAUCAAUUUUAGAUCCGCAAUCACCAAGCCAAGACGCUAGAAUUAAGCUUGCCGGUAGCGGAUACCAAAGGGAACAAACAUCCAGAACAUCCGUGUCCGCGCAAUAAAAAAGGUGCCCUGUUGUGUCUAGUGCCAUCAGUGCUGAUCUCUUGCUAAGGCGAAAGGAUUCCAGGAGAAGCAGCGUUACAGGAAAAAAAUAAUAGACACAAUCAACCAACACUCAAUUUAACCCUAGAGAGCACAGAAAUCUGCGGCCGAGAUCCGAGAGUCUCAAAAGGAAACCAUCGGAAACACCUCCUGCAUGUUUUAAGCUAACAAAGGCCACAAUCAGAUUGGACCUAGCCGUAAAAACUUCACUGAAGAAGAAGAAGAAGCUGCAAGCGAUUAAUCAACAAAGGUCAAGAUCAACAUAAAAUAGGUCAAUUCGCCGGUAAAAGA